rnacentral:misc_RNA from 1 species
AAGUCGUAACAAGGUUUCCGUAGGUGAACCUGCGGAAGGAUCAUUAACACGUAUCCAAACGUUAAACAACCCCGUGAACAUACAACCUGCUCUGGUCGCCCGCUCGCAUGGACAAGCCCAGUAAAUCAAGCCCCGGAAAGUUUUUGAUUUGGGACCUCUGUGCGCGUGAGAAAAACUGACAGCGAUUCAUAGAAGCGGUAGGUCAAGUGACACGGCGUCCCCAAGUGACCAGUGAAUGAAAGUGUCGCUGGAGCGUCAAGGACGACUCUUCAAGAUUGCUAGGUCGACCACCGACCGGCUUCCGUGUAUACUGAGCUAACACCGCUCCUGUAAGCAUCCAUACGGAUGGGCAGGCCCCCCGAACAACUGUUAACAAUGGAUAUCUUGGUUCUC